GGAAGGUGGGGAUGACGUCAAGUCAUCAUGGCCCUUACGUCCAGGGCGACACACGUGCUACAAUGGCAGCUACAGAGGGUCGCAAUACCGCGAGGUGGAGCCAAUCCCUAAAAGCUGUCUCCAGUUGGGAUCGGAGUCUGCAACUCGACUCCGUGAACGCGGAAUCGCUAGUAAUCGUGGAUCAGCCAUGCCACGGUGAAUACGUUCCCGGGCCUU
rnacentral:rRNA from 1 species